rnacentral:rRNA from 1 species
UAGGGAAUCUUCGGCAAUGGACGGAAGUCUGACCGAGCAACGCCGCGUGAGUGAAGAAGGUUCUCGGAUCGUAAAGCCCUGUUGUUAGAGAAGAACGUUGGUAGGAGUGGAAAAUCUACCAAGUGACGGUAACUAACCAGAAAGGGACGGCUAACUACGUGCCAGCAGCCGCGGUAAUACGUAGGUCCCGAGCGUUGUCCGGAUUUAUUGGGCGUAAAGCGAGCGCAGGCGGUUCUUUAAGUCUGAAGUUAAAGGCAGUGGCUUAACCAUUGUACGCUUUGGAAACGGGAGGUCUUGAGUGCAGAAGGGGGGAGUGGAAUUCCAUGUGUAGCGGUGAAAUGCGUAGAUAUAUGGAGGAACACCGGUGGCGAAAGCGACUCUCUGGUCUGUAACUGACGCGGAGGCUCGAAAGCGUGGGGAGCAAACAGG